rnacentral:rRNA from 1 species
GGUGAAAGGCUUGCUGCCUGAAGAAGAGCUUGCGUCUGAUUAGCUAGUUGGUAGUGUAAGAGACUACCAAGGCGACGAUCAGUAGCUGGUCUGAGAGGAUGAUCAGCCACACUGGGACUGAGACACGGCCCAGACUCCUACGGGAGGCAGCAGUGGGGAAUUUUCCGCAAUGGGCGAAAGCCUGACGGAGCAAUACCGCGUGAGGGAGGAAGGCUCUUGGGUUGUAAACCUCUUUUCUCAGGGAAGAACAGAAUGACGGUACCUGAGGAAUAAGCAUCGGCUAACUCCGUGCCAGCAGCCGCGGUAAUACGGAGGAUGCAAGCGUUAUCCGGAAUGAUUGGGCGUAAAGRGUCCGYAGGUGGCAUUGAAAGUCUGCUGUUAAAGAGUCUAGCUCAACYAGAUAAGAGCAGUGGAAACUACAAAGCUAGAGUUUGGUCGGGGCAGAAGGAAUUCCUGGUGUAGCGGUGAAAUGCGUAGAUAUCAGGAAGAACACCGGUGG